rnacentral:rRNA from 1 species
ACCACGACUCUCGACAAUGGAUAUCUCGGCCUCGUUUCGAUGAAGAACGUAGCGAAAUGCGAUACUUUGUGUGAAUUGCAGAAUCCCGUGAAUCAUCGAAUAUUUGAACGCAAGUUGCGCCCGAGGCCUAGGUCGAGGGCACGUCUGGCUGGGUGUGAUG